rnacentral:rRNA from 1 species
CCUACGGGAGGCUGCAGUGAGGAAUAUUGGUCAAUGGGCGCGAGCCUGAACCAGCCAAGUAGCGUGAAGGAUGACUGCCUUACGGGUUGUAAACUUUUUUUAUAAGGGAAUAAAGUGUGCCAUGUCCUUCUUUUUGUAUGUACUUUAUGACUAAGGAUCGGCUAACUCCGUGCCAGCAGCCGCGGUAAUACGGAGGUUCCGAGCGUUUUCCGGAUUUGUUGGGUUUAAAGGGAGCGUAGUUGGCUUGUUAAGUCAGUUGUGAAAGUUUGGGGAUCAACCGGAAAAUUGCAAUUGAUACUGGCAGACUUGAGUACAGGUGAGGUAGGCGGAAUUCGUGGUGUAGCGGUGAAAUGCGUAGAUAUAACGAAGAACACCAGUUGCGAAGGCAGCUUACUAAACUGCCACUGACAGUGAUGCGCGAAAGUGUGGGUAUCAAACAGGAUUAGAUACCCGUGUAGUC